CACUGAAUCACGAGACCCUUUCCUGUGCUCUUCCCCUCCCCCACACCUCCGCGCCUGAAUCCAGCCGGCGCCAGCACUCUUCGUCUUUCAACUGUAAUUUUCCGGGGAUUUUUACUGUCAGUGUUUUCAAGGAAGCUUGAAAAAAAAAAUGCCCUUACAAACCCAAUAACCAGAAGAGAGGCAGAAAAAGCAGUGUCAAAGUGUCUAAUCAGUGCCAGGGACGGGAGGAAAUCGUACUGCAAGGGCACGUGUUGGAGAGCAAGAUAGGGCCGUUGGGAGAGCGAGGAGUGAGGAGCUGCGCUAAUGUUGUUUUGUUUGUGAAAACCUUUAUUUUAGAGAUUUCAGAUAUGCAUAUAAAAACAAUACAAGUUUU